rnacentral:rRNA from 1 species
GAUGAACGCUGGCGGCGUGCCUAAUACAUGCAAGUCGAACGCAUAGCGAAAGGUGCUUGCACCUUUCAAGUGAGUGGCGAACGGGUGAGUAACACGUGGACAACCUGCCUCAAGGCUGGGGAUAACAUUUGGAAACAGAUGCUAAUACCGAAUAAAACUUAGUGUCGCAUGACACAAAGUUAAAAGGCGCUUCGGCGUCACCUAGAGAUGGAUCCGCGGUGCAUUAAUUAGUUGGUGGGGUAAAGGCCUACCAAGACAAUGAUGCAUAGCCGAGUUGAGAGACUGAUCGGCCACAUUGGGACUGAGACACGGCCCAAACUCCUACGGGAGGCUGCAGUAGGGAAUCUUCCACAAUGGGCGAAAGCCUGAUGGAGCAACGCCGCGUGUGUGAUGAAGGCUUUCGGGUCGUAAAGCACUGUUGUAUGGGAAGAACAGCUAGAAUAGGAAAUGAUUUUAGUUUGACGGUACCAUACCAGAAAGGGACGGCUAAAUACGUG